UGGGGAAUAUUGCACAAUGGGCGCAAGCCUGAUGCAGCAACGCCGCGUGAAGGAAGACGGUUUUCGGAUUGUAAACUUCUGUUCUUAGUGAAGAAACAUGACGGUAGCUAAGGAGCAAGCCACGGCUAACUACGUGCCAGCAGCCGCGGUAAUACGUAGGUGGCAAGCGUUGUCCGGAAUUACUGGGUGUAAAGGGAGCGCAGGCGGGAAAUCAAGUCAGCUGUGAAAUCCAUGGGCUCAACCCAUGAACUGCAGUUGAAACUGUUUUUCUUGAGUGAAGUAGAGGUUGGCGGAAUUCCGAGUGUAGCGGUGAAAUGCGUAGAUAUUCGGAGGAACACCGGUGGCGAAGGCGGCCAACUGGGCUUUUACUGACGCUGAGGCUCGAAAGUGUGGGGAGCAAACAGG
rnacentral:rRNA from 1 species